rnacentral:lncRNA from 1 species
GGCCUCAAAUAAUCAAUAUAUGCUCGGUUUAGGAUAAUAUGUGGGGAACUAAGCUCUAGUAUAGACAUAACUAAGUGAUAGGUGGAGUGGUAGAGGAGGCUACGUACGAGGGCGAGGUCUCAGGUUCAAAUCCCACUGACUGCGAAGCGGGCGAUUAAUUAGCUAGUGAGCUUUUCCUAUAAUUAAAAUAUUUAUUUUUUUAUUUUUAAAAGUCGAUUUUGUAUUUUGUAUAAACUUUGAGACGUGCGGCGAUUAGCCAGUGAGCUUUUUCUAUAAUUAAAAUAUUUAUUUUUAUAUUUUUAAAAGUCGAUUUUGUAUUUUGUAUAAACAGAUUUCUACAGACGGUUUCAGAUUAUCCGCCUAUGGAAAAAUUUAUUUCCACAGGCACCUAGCAUAGGCGGUUCGCCAAUCCGCGGGGUGGCGAACCACAUGUAUAGUACCUCCGUGUACUAGUGCAAGCACACGCUAACACAGGCAUACACAUGCAAACCACAUAAAACUUUAAUAUGUCACGCUAUAAAAUUUGCACUUAUAAAAUCAUGUCAUGCAUGAGUUACCUAUGCAUACAUUGGUUACCCGUGUCAUGCGUCAUGUCACGCUAUAAAUUUUAAUCAUAUUGCGUACGGUCACGUAUAAAAUAAAAGAUUUACCCAC